rnacentral:rRNA from 1 species
GACGAACGCUGGCGGCGUGCUUAACACAUGCAAGUCGAACGAGGUUCAUGGAGCUUGCUCCGGAAGACCUAGUGGCGAACGGGUGCGUAACACGUGAGAAACCUGCCCUGGACUUGGGAAUAACAGUCGGAAACGACUGCUAAUACCGAAUACCUUCACACCAUCGCAUGGUGAAGUGAAGGAAGCUUUUGCGGUUCAGGAGGGUCUCGCGGCCUAUCAGCUUGUUGGUGAGGUAACGGCUCACCAAGGCAUCGACGGGUAGCUGGUCUGAAAGGAUGAUCAGCCACACUGGGACUGAGACACGGCCCAGACUCCUACGGGAGGCAGCAGUGGGGCAAUAUUGCACAAUGGGCGAAAGCCUGAUGCAGCAACGCGCGUGCGGG